rnacentral:rRNA from 1 species
UACGUAGGGUGCGAGCGUUAAUCGGAAUUACUGGGCGUAAAGCGUGCGCAGGCGGUUCGUUGUGUCGGCGGUGAAAGCCCCGGGCUUAACCUGGGAAUGGCCGUUGAAACUGGCGAACUGGAGUGUGGCAGAGGGGGGUGGAAUUCCGCGUGUAGCAGUGAAGAUGCGUAGAGAUGCGGAGGAACACCGAUGGCGAAGGCAGCCCCCUGGGCUAACACUGACGCUCAGGCACGAAAGCGUGGGGAGCAAACAGG